rnacentral:lncRNA from 1 species
GACGAUCUCCUUUUUUUUGGCAGAAUUGAAUGGAAUAUCACACCUUCCAUUUGUGCUUGAUUCAACGAUCUAAAAAGUGACCGGAUCACGAAUGGGGUUGUGGUUCAUUGGAACACAAGUGAGUGGCGUUUCAAUUAUUCAAGAUAGGUUGAAGAUGAAUACAAAUAUGAAAUCGUAAAGUUACAAGACAUUCACAUUCAAUACUCAUUGUUAUCUCUCUGGAAUAUAUUCGGGUGGAAGCUCCUUAACUUAAACUUAGGUGCUACCGUAGCAGCAGCAGCAGGAGCAGCUACUUCAUUUGAAUCAGAAAUCAGAUUUUCAUCUAACGGCCUCACAGUUCCAAUAGACGGUGGUUGAGAAGAAGCAUAAUGGUAAUGAUCGCCUGCACCGGAAACUUGUGAAUUCUCUAACGGCCUCACAGCUCCAGUAGACAGUGGUUGAGCAGAAGCAGAAGCAUCGUACUCGCCGCCGAUGCCGGAGACUUGAGAAGUAUUUAACGGUCUCACAUCCCGAGUUGACAGUGGUACUUCAUCAUCAUCUGCAUAGUCAUCGAUGCCACCGGAAAUUUGAGAAAUUUCCAAGGGUCUCACAGCUGUCAAAGACGGUGGUUCGUCAUUACUUAUGCUCCCGUCAGACGGUUGUUGAUCGGGAUUCAUUUUCUUGUUGGGUUGGGUCUUGAAAUUUUAAAUAGGGGUCGUGAUUUAU